rnacentral:rRNA from 1 species
UCGAAAGUCUAAGGUUUCCUGGGGAAGGUUCGUCCGCCCAGGGUAAGUCGGGACCUAAGGAGAGGCCGAGAAGGCGUAUCUGAUGGACAGCAGGUUGAAAUUCCUGCACUACCGAUACUUUAAAAAACGUCAAGGGACGCAGGAGAGGAAGGAAAGCGAGGAAGAGGAAAGACUCGUAUCGAAAGAUAUAGUGAAAAAAUGAAGUAACGAAUUUCCAAGAAUCACACUGACGAGAAAAGCUUGAUGACAUUAAGUAAAGGUACCCGUACCGCAAACCGACACAGGUAGAUGAGGAGAGGAUCCUAAGACGAACGGGAGAAGCAUUGUUAAGGAACUCGGCAAAAUGACCCCGUAACUUCGGGAGAAGGGGAACCUAGGUAAAACUAGGUCGCAGAGAAAAGGCCCAAGCAACUGUUUAACAAAAACACAGGUUUCUGCUAAAUCGAAAGAUGAAGUAUAGGAGCUGACGCCUGCCCAGUGCUGGAAGGUCAAGGGGAGAUGUUAGAAGAAAUUCGAAGCAUAGAACCAAAGCCCCAGUGAACGGCGGCCGUAACUAUAACGGUCCUAAGGUAGCGAAAUUCCUUGUCAGGUAAGUUCUGACCCGCACGAAAGGCGUAAUGAUUUGGGCACUGUCUCGACAAUGUACCCGGCGAAAUUGUAGUACUAGUGAAGAUGCUAGUUACCUGCGACAAGACAGAAAGACCCCAUGGAGCUUUACUGUAGUUUGAUAUUGGGUUUUGGUAAUUUAUGUACAGGAUAGGUGGGAGACAGAGAAGGAUGUGCGUCAGCAUAUCUGGAGUCAACGUUGGGAUACCACUCUUAAGUUAUUGAAAUUCUAACUUGUGAUCAUAAACUGGUCAGAGGACAAUGUCAGACGGGCAGUUUGACUGGGGCGGUCGCCUCCAAAAGAGUAACGGAGGCGCCCAAAGGUUCCCUCAGUGCGGACAGAAAUCGCACAAAAGAGUGUAAAGGCAGAAGGGAGCUUAACUGGAAGAUAGACAUAUCGAGCAGAUACGAAAGUAGGGCUUAGUGAUCCGGUGGAAUUGAAUGGAAAAGCCAUCGCUCAACGGACAAAAGUUACCCUGGGGAUAACAGGCUUAUCUCCCCCAAGAGUUCACAUCGACGGGGAGGUUUGGCACCUCGAUGUCGGCUCAUCGCAUCCUGGAGCUGAAGUCGGUUCCAAGGGUUGGGCUGUUCGCCCAUUAAAGCGGUACGCGAGCUGGGUUCAGAACGU